rnacentral:rRNA from 1 species
CUCGUCCUACGGGGGGCAGCAGUGGGGAAUAUUGCACAAUGGGGGAAACCCUGAUGCAGCGACGCCGCGUGGGUGAAGAAGUAUUUCGGUAUGUAAAGCCCUAUCAGCAGGGAAGAAAAAAAUGACGGUACCUGACUAAGAAGCACCGGCUAAAUACGUGCCAGCAGCCGCGGUAAUACGUAUGGUGCAAGCGUUAUCCGGAUUUACUGGGUGUAAAGGGAGCGUAGACGGCAGGGCAAGUCUGGAGUGAAAGGCGGGGGCUCAACCCCCGGACUGCUCUGGAAACUGCCAGGCUGGAGUGCAGG